rnacentral:lncRNA from 1 species
ACACAUAGCCCAUAGACCUCAUCCCGGCCUCCCAGCUUCGGGGAUGGGUCUCCUACAGCAUCACUGGUCAUGUGACCUCCUACAGGUGCUAGUAGUAACAACAUGGCUGGGAGAUCUCUGUGGUCCCUGUCCGUCACAGGAGGUGUGGGGUGUCUGAUGACAUCACUGGGCUCGGCAGGGGAGAGGCUCCACCUGAUUGGGCAAUUGGCUUUUAUCACAUCUGAACAGAGCUAAGAAUAAAGCCAGCCAGGGAGCAUGAUAACAACACGGAUGCUCCUCAGAGUCUGCAUAGAAGAGAGGCAAUGUUGGCUGACAUGAGACGGUUGGAGGGGGGUGGGGGACGGAAUGUUUAAAUAGGAUGAAGCGUUACGUGGCAACAAGCAAUCUCAGUUUUAGAGUGGUACUCAAGGGGGCUUAGAGCUUUGAGAGUGAAGGCUGGUAGAGAUACAUGCACACAUGAAAUGUAUUUGAUAGUGAGAAAACGUCCAGCUGCAAGAUAUCUCAAGGUGAAACAUAAACCGCCCUCGUGUCAGCUUGGCUCAGGAGUAUGACAAAGUUGCCCCAAUAUGCUGAUGUAAGGACAGUUUCACAUCUCCCUCCCUAGUGAUUAAGGUCAGGAUUUUGGGGAGAUUAAACUGAUUUCAGACCUGUGCCUAUGAGCAGCUUCCAACUGGAAAUCCUGCUGCUCUUUGUAUCCUAUAGAUGCUGCUGUGGCUUGGAUUCCCAGUAGUGUCAGACCUGGGGCGUAUCCGUCAUGUUGACGGACAGCGGAUGGACAGGGGGCAGCUGUGAGUCGUUGCUGCACUACUUUGUGCAAGUGGAACAAAAGACUGAGGGGAAGGAGACGUCACACAGACUCACCCAAGAUCCCAACGGAGCAGAGAGGUCAGCUCUAUUGACACUGACUCAUCCAAGAUCCCAACGGAGCAGAGAGGUCAGCACUAUUGACACUGACUCAUCCAAGAUCCCAACGGAGCAGAGAGGUCAGCUCUAUUGACACUGACUCAUCCAAGAUCCCAACGGAGCAGAGAGGUCAGCACUAUUGACACUGACUCAUCCAAGAUCCCAAUGGAGCAGAGAGGUCAGCACUAUUGACACUGACUCAUCCAAGAUCCCAAUGGAGCAGAGAGGUCAGCUCUAUUGACACUGACUCAUCCAAGAUCCCAACGGAGCAGAGGUCAACAAUAUUGACACUGACUCAUCCAAGAUCCCAACGGAGCAGAGAGGUCAGCACUAUUGACACUGACUCAUCCAAGAGCCCAACGGAGCAGAGAGGUCAGCACUAUUGACACUGACUCAUCCAAGAUCCCAACGGAGCAGAGAGGUCAGCACUAUUGACACUGACUCAUCCAAGAUCCCAACGGAGCAGAGAGGUCAGCACUAUUGACACUGACUCAUCCAAGAUCCCAACGGAGCGGAGAGGUCAGCUCUAUUGACACUGCGGCUCCUCUAAUGCGCUGAGCUAAAGCUGACCUCCACUGAUUUCACUUUGCUAUUCUUAGAGCUGCUGCAUUGUCCUCAAUUAACACAGAGGAAAGUACAAGAGAGAUAAAGGAAUCGUGCCCAUCCUCUUGAGGAUGGUUUCUUAAACCAUGAGUGGACCCAAAGUGGGCCCUGGGCAUCUGAGGUGUGUCGCGAGUUACAGGAAUAAUCUAUAAUCACACACUAUUUGUAUAUCUCUUAAUUUAGGUCAUUGAAGAACGAUUAGGGUCACAGGGGAAGGUCAUUUUGGGUCACAAGUUGAAAAAGUUUAGGAACCCCUGCUCUAGUAUAGUAAUAGUAACCUAUUCGAACAGAUAGUGAAUUGACAGAGGAAGUAGGCCUUAGCCCCUCUCUGCAUCCCCACUCAUAUGGCAUCAUAUCAUAUCCCUUUAAUCAAACACAGGAUACAGUGUCCAAUGCACAUCCAAUGAUCUAAAUAAGCUCAGCAUGAGGACAGGAGCACCAUAACUAUUUUUGGAAGAAAUUGUUCCCUGGUAUCCCAGCUGCUGCUAAGCUUUACAGUACUGGAUCAAAAAAGAGAUGUCUCCCUGCCACUGCCAGCAUCCCUCCCUACCACCAGCAUCCCUAGUCCACCUUCAUGUGUCCUUCCUCUCCUCUGCUUCUUCCUCCUCCCAUCUCAUACAGCGUUGCUGCGGUGAUGUCAUCAUUCCCUGCUCCAGCCAAGCCAGAGAUUUUGUUCUGAGCUCUCCAAGAGCUGCAGCAGCCAUCACAUGGUCCUCACCACUGCAUCACUCACCUCCCCCCUGCUGCAGGUAGCUCAGGUUGCUAGGAGACACUAUCUCUGGCUGCCUAGUAACAGAUAAAUGU